rnacentral:lncRNA from 1 species
GCCCAAGAGUUUUAGAAUCACUAACAUCUCCCUGUAAUAACUUUUUUUUUCUUUGAUAGAUGAGCAUGUGUACUGGACAGCUUGUGGCCAUACAGUCAUGAAAGGGAGCUGGCGGGUUUCUCUCAGAGCCACCUGAGCAGCCCUGAACAAGCAUUAUAGCUGAUGCUGCCACAGGUCCUAAUUAUCUCAACCAAUCACACCCCAACGGGAAUGCAGUGUAGCCAACAUCUCAUGGUCCCCACUGUAUAGAUGAGGAAACUGAGCUAUUGAGUGUUUAAGUAAACUAAGAUCACACAACAAGCACACAGCAGACCCCAGGUUCCAAUGAAGGAAAUCCAAUCCCCUUAGAAUCCAUCUAUUUCUACUGAAGUGGGUGCAAGCACAGACUGACUGCUCAAUUCCGGCAAAACAAACCAAGGAUAACAUAGUGGGAUGGUUCUAUUGUAUUUAGUGUCUCCAAAACCUAACACAAGCCCACCACUGAUAUUCAUAAUACAUCAAAGAAAUCAUACCCUCUACAUGGUCUUAGUUUCCAGGAAGAGUUACUGCCUCUUCCACUUGAAAGACUCAUUUAUUAACCAAGAAGAAGCUGUAAUGUGGGGAACACUUAACCCAACGCUAUGAAGCUUUGUUAAACUAGACUCUCUUAUAGAAUCAAACAUCAAAAUCAAAAAAGUAUGAAAGUGAUUUUAUGAUUUAAAUCCUUGUUCUCAAAAAACAUUUCUCUCGUCCUCUCUUCCCCUCCUCUCCUCCAGGGCACUGAGGCCCUGGGAAGUUCAGUCAUUUGUCAAAGAUGUACAAGUAAAUCCAGGAUUCAGAAUUUCUGCAUAUCAGGACAGGAGGGUGGUUUGAAGUUUAGCUUUGUACCAACUAGAAGGUAAUGUUUGCUAAGCAGAUCAAUUGGGUAAACACACUUGCAGUGGAAUAUUUAAGCUAGUCAAGAGAAUAAAUUGCUUCCAAGCAUGCAUUCACAUGCAAAUGAUUGACAGACUAAUUAUAAGUCAUUCUUAUCUCUUCAUGAAAACCCACUCCCCCAGGUAUGACUUGAUCAAGUCACCAUUCCUGAUACAUGAAACAGCAUUACUAUCUGAGGAAAACCAACUUUCUUAAUUCAGAUUUUUCAUCAGUUCAGAUAGACAUAUGGCCCUCCUACCCCCAAACCUACAUUAAAUAUUUCACCAAGAAACAACUAUUAAGUGCCUCCUGCAUGUUGGGGCCUGUGUUAGGCACUGGCAGCCCAAAGAUGGAGAAGAUAUGAUUCUUAUUUAGAAAAGGUGUGUAUAAGUUUCAUUUUGUUCUUCCUUCUCAAGAGGUCCCAAGCUUUCCAUUCAUGAAUGUUUAAGACCAUAUGGACAGCACGGGGGUGGAGAGAGAGGAUUAAAGAAUCAUCAGAUGAUACCUCAUUUCCUCUGAAUAACAUGAUUCCAGGUUCAUCUGAUUAUAUAGACCAAAUAGAUUUGUCAACCACCAUGUAUUAGCACUAUCACACAUUAAAAUCUGUAUCUAGAUUAAAAAAGGAUUUCAAACAGCAUACAUAUAGAUGCCCAUGUCUGAAAUCUGAGUUCUCUAACAUAAUUUGUAUUGAAAUGAAACCACCGGUGUUAUCAAAUUGAAUGUAAAUGUAUACGUGCAGAUAUUCUUAAAGCUUUUAUUGACAAACUUCAUUGUGUUCUUUUAUCUCUUAUAGGAGAUAGAAAAAUUUCCAAACAACUUUUCUUUUUAGAAAGGCACUAGCUGCUCUGGUGGUAUGUUUUAUCUAGAGGUAAUGCAAAAAAAAAAGCAUAUGAAAAAAAUUGUUUUUUAAUUUCCAUUAUUGAUAUUGCAAUGAAAUAUGAAAUAGACCCAGUAGCUUUUGUUGUUUUCUCUUGCUGCUCCCUGAGAAGGAGGGGCCUGAUUUUGAAAGAUAGCAGUGUCUCUUCCAAUCCACAUCUUUGGGGGCUGAGUGAUCUUGUGCCAGGGGUAUCCACCUCUCUGAAUGCAUAGCCUUUUAAGCACCACACUUAGUUUGAUGGUAUCCAUUCUGAAUAGGAAUCCUUUUUAGCAGAUAAUCUAUUUAUGCAUACUAUGUUGAUCAGCAUAUAUUGAUAACUUCUAACCGUUUGGUUGUUUAGCCUGGAUGUCAAUCCUGGGUCCUUUCUUCUCUCUCUGCCUAUCAGGUCUCCCUCAGCAUACAUCCAGAAUCCAACCACUUCUUACCUUCACCUACACAGCCUAGUGCAAGCCCCGUCAUCUUUCAUCAGCAUUUUCCAAUAGCCUUCCUUUUUUUUUUUUUUUUUUUCCUUUUUCUUUUUAGGGCCACACAUGGAGAUUCCCAGGCUAGGGGUCUAAUUGGACUACAGCUGCCAGCCUACACCACAGCAGAGCAGAAUCUGAGCCGCAUCUGCAACCUACACCACAGCUCACAGCAACACUGGAUCCUUAACCUGCUGAGCGAGGCCAGGGAUAGAACCCACAAUCUCAUGGUUCCUAGUCGGAUUCAUUUCCAUUGAGCCAUGACAGGAACUCCACCAAAAGCUCUCUGCUUCUUCCCUUGCCUCCUUGGAACCUCUCCUGAUCCUUUAGAAUUGUAAGACAUGUCAAACGCUGCCAUGGUUUUACCUCUAAGGCCAAAUCACAUAGCCUACGGAGAUCUUCCUGAUUUGACUCACCUGGCUGGCCUGUGUCCCACUGCUUGCCCUCUUGUUUUUGAUGCCUCCUGCUAUUUGUCAAACAGGUCAAGUCUGCCUCUUUCUUGAGGCCUUUGCAUCCAACGUGCCUUCUGUCAGGAGUGCUCUUCCUCCGGACAUCACCACAGCUGCUGCUUCACUCCCAUCAUGUCUUUGCUCAGAUGUCAUCUCACGGGAGCCCUCCUUAGCAUCACACUGAAAAUUGCUGCCCCCCUCCACCCCCACCAAGGCCCUCCGUUUCCUGCUUCCUGCUUGAUUUUUUUCCAUGGUACUUUUCACUGACAGCCUAUCUAUGCACCUUAAUUAUUUUGAUUUUUCACACAUAUACACACCAUUGCAUAAGCAAAACAAGAGGAGGGGUGUUUCUCUUUUGUUCACUGCAGUGUUCUCAGCCACUAGAAGCAUGCCUAGUACAUCAUAGGUACUUAUUAGCAGCCUGUGUAAGGAAUUUACUUUCGAAUGAGGGGCAUUGUUACCAACCCUUACCAACCCUUUAGGUCCUACCUGUACCUCAAGAUGUAGCUCAGGGUCUGUGCAGGUGUGAGGAAGCACGUCUAGUUUGCAAUCAAAGGGAUGCUAUUGAGUUUGUUUUGCUUUGCUUUGUUUCCACAUUUGUAAAAGAAGGACAUGAGUUUAUUAAUUUUAGAAAUAGAACUAAAUGACUUCACAGUGUGAUUUUGAACCCAUGACGGCCUUUUACAGAUUGUCUGUCUCCCUAUCAUGAGUGGACCAGGCAGGUCCUGCCACUUCUUGCUCUACCAGCCUGACCGUCUCAAAUACUACUAAUGAAUUUCAGAGAAAAAUCUGUGAGUGGCUCACUCCCUGAGACUGAGAUGAUGGUGAAUUACUGCAGGGUCAAUGGGAUACCAGGACUCUGUGCACUUAAUAUAUGCUGUUAGAUACUUAAGGCAUGUUGGCUACUCAAUACUUGCUUUAUUUUGCAUUUCCAAGCUAUUUUAUCUAUUUGUGAUGGCCAAAUGUUUAGCUGAUAAAUGAGGGAAGUUUCUCUGUGCCCUUUUGUAUGCAAUAGUAAGUGUUUUAUAUUUUUCAGGAGUUUUGCAAGACUUUUUCUUAAUAGCUUCCUUAAAUAGCAACUAGUGUACUAGUUCAGGGUAUUAUACUUACUAGUCAACAGGUAAAUAUCAAAGGCAUUGAUGAACUAAAAUUCCACAUUUUUUUUGUAAAAGGAAAUUAAGAUUAAGGUGAAUAUACAUUUCUAUCUCAGACUCAGAAAUGGCCUCACCCAAGGAUGGCAUUUGCUCAUGUCCCAGUUUGUGUUGUACGUGAAUCAUUCAUAGUCAAGUUCACACGUACCACUGUUACUCCUUCCCCAUAAUUUUUGUCCUUACCUGCAACUUCAGUGACAGCCAGUUAUGACCCAAAGUGUAAAAAAAAUUUUGCAGGUCAGAAGACCUUCUCCUUAGAGAUCAAGUUUUUACUCCUGUCUUCAGCUCACUGGUGGCCUUGCAUUUUUCUCUCUGAUUUCCAGGAUUCUGGAUUCAUUUCCUUAUGCUCAUCACUGGACACAUGGACUUUCCUUCAGUAGGAACCUUGCUGCUUCUCUAGGGACUAUCGAACUAUUGUGCCUUUAAACUUUGCUCUCUGACUUGCAACCUCACUCCAACUAAGAGGAAAUGCUAAGUCACAUAAUUGCACAUUAAUAAUUAAUAAAUAACAAUUUUUUGAACCAUGUCUACUUGCCAGGAACUGUUCUAAGAUCUUCCCACGUGGUGUUGUAUUUAAUCUUCACAGCAACCUGUGAAUUUUUUUUCUUUAAUCUCUAAAAUAGCUAACAAUUCUCAUUAGCCAGUGAUGAAAUUCAUGCAAAACCUACAUAGGCACGCACACAUGGGUAUGUAUAUGUGUGGGUGGAAAAAGGUUUACUUAGACAACAGGAAAAAAAUAUUUUUAAGUAGGAAAAAUAUCAUUCAGAGAAGUUUUGAGAGAAAAAUCAAAAUAACAAUCGGCUAUAUCCUAAUUAUUAUAAACUUUGAAUAUGCUUUUAAAAUUUACUUUUUACUCUUGCCUGUGUCAGGUCACUUUUCUUAUCUCCUAACACCAUCUCCUUCAUCUUGUUUUUGACAUUUUUUUUUUCUUUGGUAUUUUAAGUGUGGUUCCUUUCAUAGCUCCUCCUGCUACUGACGCUCUGAGUGCUAAAUUUCUCCACCUGCCUCUCAGUUUCCAAGUGGCUUACCCAUUUCUUCUGCUAAACAGUUCAGGGAGCCUUGAACCUUUUUUCUCCUCUCUGUCUUUUGAGCAACUCUGAGGAAUAUCCUGCCUGUUUUUAAUUUAUAGCUUAGUGAUUCUCAAUGUGUUGGCCAUGCAUCAAAGGCAGCAGUACAGUUGGGAUGCUUGUGAAAGUUCAGAUUCCUGGAUUCCCAACCUCAAGAAAAGGUGAUGUGGUGUGUCUGACUUCACAUUUUUAUAAUAGUUUAGGGAGAUUAAUACACAAUAAAAUUUUAAGAUCUCUGUUCCAGAU